CUGAAAUAAUUUAAGAAAGAGGAAAAUAUUUUUUUAAAAAAUAGAUUAAAAAAAACAACAACCAACAAUUAGUUGUAUACUCCGUCCAAGUCUAGUUUCCUGGAUUUGUAUUACAUCUGUUUCAAAGUUGUACUUCAUACACUAAAUAGAAAAUAUUUAGUCAUCUUUUGUUAUUAGCUUAGCAUGUACUUGUUUUGUACCAGGUUUUUGGAAUCUUGGGUUUAGUUUUUAAAUAAAGUUGUCAGAAAGCUGAUUGUGAAGGGCAAGGAUUUGGCAGGAGACACAACUGGUUGCACACCCAAUUGAACAUGAGAAGAGUAAUCCUUUGAAGUCUGCCUAACUCACCCCUUUGUAGAAUGAGGAUGUGUUGUUUAUAAUACAUUAUUUCGUAGCACAACUAAUAUAUAUACAGACAAGUUAUGCACAAGUCUGGACUAAAAAAUAAUAUAUAUAUAUGUACUGAGAUGACAUGUUUGUAUUGUAAUAAUAGCGACUGCCCUAUUUCUAAUAGCAGCAUUGAAAUUUGAUUGAGCUAAGCAUUCAUUUGUAAUUCUCCCUUUUAAAUGUUUAACUAGUUCUGUAAUGUGUCUUUAAAGACAUGGGAGGUGAUUGAUUCAGGUAAUAUUAUUUCUGAUAAUCUAUAGAUUGAAUCAUAAUCAUUCAGUUUUAUUUCAUUAGCACUGAAACUUCAUUUAGUUUCACCUGUAGUUUAAAUUUGUGAAACUUCUCUUCGCCCUAUGCUAUUAUACAAUGAACACUCUAUUUACACUUAGCGCUAUGAGCAAGGGAAGCAUUUAAAUAUCAGUCAUUACAGCUUGUAUAAAAGUGCUAUUACAAUAAAGAAUGUUCGAACUAAGAUUUUGUUUUACCCAAAUUUGAAUAAAAAAUGAAUUUUAGUUAAAUCGGGUUAAGAUAUUUUCAACUUUCUUGAAUGAAUCUGGUUUAUUACACUUCUCUUUGUUUUUCUAUACAGAUAUUUUGAUUCUAUACUGUCUACAAAGUUUGAAAGUCAAGUAAUGUGCAUGAGUGGAGUGAUGUUGUACUGAAUGACUGUGUUUGUAAGGAGCAAAUGAUAUUUUAUAUUUUUCUUUAAGGAAAUAAAAGAAUUUCUCAAAACUUUUGUACAGUCU